UACGUAGGGGGGCAAGCGUUGUCCGGAUUUAUUGGGCGUAAAGAGCGUGUAGGCGCCAUGCAGGUCCGUUGUGAAAACUCGAGCUCAACCUCGAGACGCCGAUGGAAACCGCAUGGCUAGAGUCCGGAAGAGGAGAGUGGAAUUCCUGGUGUAGCGGUGAAAUGCGCAGAUAUCAGGAAGAACACCCGUGGCUAAGGCGGCUCUCUAGUACGGUACUGACGCUGAGACGCGAAAGCGUGGGGAGCGAACAGGAUAGAAACCCUGUA
rnacentral:rRNA from 1 species